CUCAACAUAAAUGUAAUUAGAAAAACUGGCCACUACCUUGAGUGUCGCUCCCUCUAUUCUCACACAAUGCACUGGCAGUGUUUAGUGUGUGUGUGUGGUGUGCAUUGGUUGUGUCUGAGGUUUGGAGGUUUGUUACCUGGGGGUGGAUAAGGGUGCUUUGUGGUUUCUGUUUUGGCCCUCCAAUGGUCCCUGCACAUUGGAGCAGCAUGUGUACUUUGUUUUUAG